GGGAACUGUAAUUUCUACAGUUUAGCAACAAGGCACGCAUAGUGAACAACACCGCUGUGCGUUUCCAGGCCUGCAAACUGACUGAGCUCUUGUUUAACCAAAGGGAUCUGACUUCACUGAAUCCGAGGAGGCGUCUGGAGCAUCUGAUACAGCACAAAGAGACAAACGGGUUAAACGUGAACAAGCCCCGGCGAGUUAAGAGGCACAAGUGAUCCAACAGUACCGCUUGAGUCCUGGUUGCUUUGGCGAACGCAGAGGAGCUAAUGCAGACAACCUCUCCAGAGGAAUCAAUGUGACUCAAUAGAAUGAAAGGAAAGAGAUGAUUGACUUUUCCGUGAAUGAACCCACUGUCGUGGCUGCUCUCGCUGUGAUCUCUGGGAGUGUUUGCAACGCAAAAUGUUGUUGAAUUUCAAACAGGAGUUGAACUGCAGAGCUCAGAGCCUCCUCCACAAUAAUAACCAUGGGUGCUUCUGGAAGGAGGAAAUCCCCAAGACACAUAACUCGACUCCAGAGGCAACGCACAAACAAAGACUGUAGAGGGCUACUUAUAGAGCCACCAUAUCAAUAAAA
ensembl:lncRNA